UCUUGAAUUGUUGCCGGAGCCCAAGUUUGCUGGAGCCGAGUAAAGGCACUGUGAGCCUGCCCAUGCCCAUGCUCUGAUGUCAUUUUGUGCUGCAUUACCUGCACUGACAAGACUUCCAAGUUGACCUCUGGGUGUUUGGAGAUAUUUGAAGGCCAACACAUCCUCACUCCGAACUCAUCAAAAACGACAGCUUGGUCAGUGCCCCUACGCUAGGAAAUGGAGGAUGCAGAUCUUGAUCUCAACACUGCCGUGAGCCAGAUGCAAGCAGCGCUGGAGGGAUUCUUCUCCCUGUUGAGGGUCCACUCUGUGAGCAGGGGGGCACGCCUUCUGGCCACGACUGAUGUUACAACCAUCUGAGUCCUUCGGCCGAGACUUUAAUUUAUCCGUCUUAAACUAUGUACUAAAUCAUUUACCCUUUAAUACAAACAUUAUGUGUCUCAAGGGUUUAACCAGUUUAACACAUUUACUGAGUAUUUUAAAUUAUGUGUUGUGUCAUAACUGAAGCCACAUGGUGCAAAAUGUUGGUGAGACACCAUGAUGAUUGAUAAGCUAGUUAUCUAUAAAUUAUGGAAUGAAAUUAAUAAAUCUUAUGAAACAAACAA